CGCUGUCGUUGUAGGGUUAGUGACCAAUUAUUUUAUCUUUUUCUUCUUUUUUUCCAAUGAAUUUUCAAGCGGCAAACUUUUAGAGAUAUAUCAAACCUAAACUCGCAUACCUCGAGGUGAACGAAUCGAAAGCUGGACUCCAUCGCGUUCUUCCCUCGGCAACGACUCCGACUCCGACUCUGACUCCGUCAGAUUGAAUCUUCGCAAGGAAGCUUAGUGUACGAAUCUGAGGACAAUUCGAGAACCGGAGAAUCACAAUCAGCGGUUGCAGAUUUUGAUAAUCUGAGAGCUUUGGUCACUAGCAAUGGAUUCGAAGCUUUGGCACCGAAUUUUGAUUGCGAUUCAGUGAACUUCGUUGGUCAUCGAGUUCUUCCCCCAACUCCGACUCUGUCGAUCUUCUCCUCCAACGAAUUACUUGAUUUCUACUGCAGAAAAUACAACCUUCCCCUCAGAAAAUACAUUAGCACAGCUUCACUAUGAGUCAAAGUUGUACAUGCUUCUUCAAGGAGGAACGGGUGUACCCCAUCUUAAAUGGUUCGGAGUUGAGGGUGAAUAUAAUGUCAUGGUUAUUGACCUUCUUGGCCCAAGCCUAGAAGACUUGUUCAACUAUUGCAAUCCGAAGUUCACUUUGAAGACAGUUUUAAUGCUUGCAGAUCAAUUAAUUAACCGAGUGGAGUACAUGCACUCACGGGGAUUUCUUCACCGUGACAUAAAGCCUGACAACUUCUUAAUGGGUCUGGGGCGUAAAGCUAAUCAGGUACUUGAGCCUUUAGGGUGCUUGUCUCAAAUCAUGUUCAUAACUUUGUGUUUUCAUGCUUGAUUGGAAUCUUUUCAAUUGCUGCUUAAGACUCUUUGUGGUUGCUUCCAUUGUGAUUUUGGAUGUCGAGGUGUUGAAUAUCUUGGGAAAGUAAUUUCAUUCUAAUAAAGGCAAAUGUAAGCCAUAUAUGAUUACUUCAUGGGGAUUGAUGUGGGAUGUAAAAACAGAGCUAAACAACAUGUUUGGUUAAUUUACAAGAAAGAAGUUUGACCUUUAUAUGCUGACUGUUAUUAGUUUAUGUUUUGUUGUGCUAGUUGAAACAAUAAGCAUGUUGCUAUAAAUGAUAAUGACUAUUCAUG